AGGACGAACGCUGGCGGCGUGCCUAAUACAUGCAAGUCGUACGCUUCUUUUUCCACCGGAGCUUGCUCCACCGGAAAAAGAAGAGUGGCGAACGGGUGAGUAACACGUGGGUAACCUGCCCAUCAGAAGGGGAUAACACUUGGAAACAGGUGCUAAUACCGUAUAACAAUCGAAACCGCAUGGUUUUGAUUUGAAAGGCGCUUUCGGGUGUCGCUGAUGGAUGGACCCGCGGUGCAUUAGCUAGUUGGUGAGGUAACGGCUCACCAAGGCCACGAUGCAUAGCCGACCUGAGAGGGUGAUCGGCCACAUUGGGACUGAGACACGGCCCAAACUCCUACGGGAGGCAGCAGUAGGGAAUCUUCGGCAAUGGACGAAAGUCUGACCGAGCAACGCCGCGUGAGUGAAGAAGGUUUUCGGAUCGUAAAACUCUGUUGUUAGAGAAGAACAAGGAUGAGAGUAACUGUUCAUCCCUUGACGGUAUCUAACCAGAAAGCCACGGCUAACUACGUGCCAGCAGCCGCGGUAAUACGUAGGUGGCAAGCGUUGUCCGGAUUUAUUGGGCGUAAAGCGAGCGCAGGCGGUUUCUUAAGUCUGAUGUGAAAGCCCCCGGCUCAACCGGGGAGGGUCAUUGGAAACUGGGAGACUUGAGUGCAGAAGAGGAGAGUGGAAUUCCAUGUGUAGCGGUGAAAUGCGUAGAUAUAUGGAGGAACACCAGUGGCGAAGGCGGCUCUCUGGUCUGUAACUGACGCUGAGGCUCGAAAGCGUGGGGAGCAAACAGGAUUAGAUACCCUGGUAGUCCACGCCGUAAACGAUGAGUGCUAAGUGUUGGAGGGUUUCCGCCCUUCAGUGCUGCAGCUAACGCAUUAAGCACUCCGCCUGGGGAGUACGACCGCAAGGUUGAAACUCAAAGGAAUUGACGGGGGCCCGCACAAGCGGUGGAGCAUGUGGUUUAAUUCGAAGCAACGCGAAGAACCUUACCAGGUCUUGACAUCCUUUGACCACUCUAGAGAUAGAGCUUCCCCUUCGGGGGCAAAGUGACAGGUGGUGCAUGGUUGUCGUCAGCUCGUGUCGUGAGAUGUUGGGUUAAGUCCCGCAACGAGCGCAACCCUUAUUGUUAGUUGCCAUCAUUUAGUUGGGCACUCUAGCAAGACUGCCGGUGACAAACCGGAGGAAGGUGGGGAUGACGUCAAAUCAUCAUGCCCCUUAUGACCUGGGCUACACACGUGCUACAAUGGGAAGUACAACGAGUCGCGAAGUCGCGAGGCUAAGCUAAUCUCUUAAAGCUUCUCUCAGUUCGGAUUGUAGGCUGCAACUCGCCUACAUGAAGCCGGAAUCGCUAGUAAUCGCGGAUCAGCACGCCGCGGUGAAUACGUUCCCGGGCCUUGUACACACCGCCCGUCACACCACGAGAGUUUGUAACACCCGAAGUCGGUGAGGUAACCUUUUGGAGCCAGCCGCCUAAGGUGGGAUAGAUGAUUGGGGUGAA
rnacentral:rRNA from 1 species